rnacentral:rRNA from 1 species
AUUCCAGCUCCAAUAGUGUAUAUUAAAGUUGUUGCAGUUAAAAAGCUCGUAGUUGGAUUUCUGGCGGGAGCGAUCGGUCCUUCACUCAGUGUUGGAACCUGAUUGUCUCCUGCCAUCCAUGGAGAAAACUUAUCUGGCAUUAAGUUGUCGGGUAGGCAAUCUCCAUCUUUUACUGUGAAAAAAUUAGAGUGUUCAAAGCAGGCUUAUGCCGUUGAAUAUAUUAGCAUGGAAUAAUAAGAUAGGAUCUUCGUCUAUUUUGUUGGUUGCGGACAAAGAUAAUGAUUAAUAGGGAUAGUUGGGGGUGUCUGUAUUGUGUUGUCAGAGGUGAAAUUCUUAGAUUUACACAAGACAAACUACUGCGGAAGCAUUCACCAAGGAUGUUUUCAUUG